CUCAGGCCCCGCCCCCUCACCUGAAUCGCAGGUACUGCGGACAAGAUGGCGGCGGGGGUGAGUUUGUGCUGUUGCUAAAUUAAAAAUUAUUUUUAAAUUAUUUAUUCCCUGCGGGAUAGCCUAGGAAGAAUCCAUAGCGUUUGUUUUCCAAAUCCAGUUGCGGGACUUCUAAAUGGCUAUUUCUCUGUUUGGGAGGAAAAGGGGAAACCGGCGUUUUAAAGAAUGAGAUACAUCUUGGUGUUGCCAACGCUGGUCCCGCGUUUGCUCAUACCUGCCGAGGCUCACUGACUUCAAGUUUAAAUGUGAAACGAUGAUGCUCCGGGUCCGCUCAUCUUGCUGUUCCCCGUUGACUGUAUCUGUUGCCAUGACGAGGAGGAGUAAUGUAAUGUAAUGUCUUGUUGAGUUUAACAAUAUUUGUAUCUUUUUAAAUUCCUGUUAAUUUGUUGUUUUUUUAUUCUAGUAAAUAUAACUUAAUUGCUACGGCAGUAUUCGUGCAAUUGUAAAAACAACCGGUUGUUGCUGACGUUUGGAAAUGUUACAUUUUCAGAAUGCAUCAACUGAUUCAAUAAAUGUGUGUUUUUUUUUUGUAGUA